rnacentral:lncRNA from 1 species
GUAGGGAAGUAGGAGCAGGGAAGAUUGGGGAGCAGGGGCUAAAGGAGGAAAAAAGUCCCUCAGACUAAGGAGGAAUACUGGGUAGGGGGGAAAGCAUCAGAGCAGGGCCCAUAGAGGGGUGGGGCAGGGGGAGAAAGGGUUGAGAGGUUUUGUUAAGGGUGGAGGAGUGGGAGGAGAGAUUGGUAGUGAGAGACGUGCUUAAGGGACUGCUCAGUUUGAAGUAGAUUGGAGACAUUUUCUCAUGUUUCAGCCUCCUUGGACCAAGCAAAAUAAGCUGACCUUUGAAGAGAACAGAUCUUGAGGGGGAUCUGUAGAUGGACACAGGGAGAUUCCAGGUGCCUCAGAGGGAUCAACUUGCAGUUCCAAGUUGUCCUCAGGGAAAUCUUGCCAUUUUUUGGGAUAAUGAACUGAAUUCUCAUCACAGUGGAAUACGUAUCAUCGGAAGGGAUUUUUAAAGGGCAGGGUGAGAAGUGGAUUGAGAAUUUCGCAUAGCACCAAGGUUAAACAGAAGCCAACUACGAAACAAAGCCAGAAGGGCACUCAAGCAAAUAAUCAAAAUCAAAUCCUUACCACGCUGCCAGGGACCGAUAUAUCCAGAGCAUGGGACCAGGAGCUGGACUCACGGUGGGAUCUCUGAUCAGUCACAGAAGGAGCUUGACGAGCUCAUGGGGUCUCUCUCCCUAGGUGGAGAAGACAGGGCUCCAAAUGGACUUCCAGUCCCAUCCACGUCACAGAGGCAAAUUGUCAGAGACAAAGACCUAAGCCGGUCCUUUUCCAGGAGUAAAUGACCAUCGUGCGCCCAUGGGAAGAGUGCUGCAUCCACGGAGGACAUGGGCCAACAGUGCUCUCAAAUGGGUUUCAUGAAAGCAUCUGUGACUCAUCCCUGUUCAAGAAUGUUUUCAUUACGAUUCAGCAGAAGCGAUGUGCCAGCUUUUGAUAAUGUGGCUACUUAAAACAACUGAAAUAACACAUGUGGUCCCAUUGUGGCCACAUUAGAUUUCUACUGGCCAGCGUGGGACUAGACUCAGGCUAAGGUCCUCCCAACUCAGCUCCAGGUUUAUGAGCCGUAACUCAGCAGAAGCCUAGCAUGAGAACAACUCAUCUGAAGCUCCAACAUUUGGGGAAUGCAACCUUUCGACAGACAUUUGCUGAAUGGAUAGGAGACUCCUGAAAGCAGAAUUCUGCACAUUCUGUGGACCAGCCCUGACUACGGAGAGCAGGUGUUAGCCAGUAUCCAUGCGCAGUGCCUCUUAGUCUUACCUGUCUGCUGCCUUACGCAAGCAUGGAGCUUAAUAUGCUAGCUGUGUUCUCCUAACCUCAGAUAUCUGUAAAACCAGCCACAGUAAGAUAACAUGGUAGAGCACAAAAUGCUUAGAAGAGAUUUAUUUGAAGCAAUGCUUCCCAGAAGUUUUUCAAUGCAGCUUAUGGCGAGAAACACAUUUUACAUCUCUACUCAGUACGCAGCCACUCAUACUCAACUGAAACAUCUUCUGAAACAAUAUUUCACUUCACUCUCUGCAAUACAGAAAAUACCAGAUCGUAUUGUAUGUUAUUUCAUUGUUUUAAAAUCCUGAGCCUAGCUUGCUAAUAGAUUACAACUCAGUUUGAAAAGCACAGGCUAAGGGGCUUCAAAUAGGGGUGACACAUUGAACACACACAUUUAUCACCUCUCCCUUCACAGAUCUCAUUAAAAUGAUAAUAAAGGAACAAAAUGGCAGAAAUCCACAAGGACAAACAGCAAACAAGAGGGACAUCAGCAGAUAGGCAACCUCAACAAGUAUAUCACAAUGAGUGACACACCCCCUAUAACAGCCAAUUUUGAUGGUCCUCCCAUAGCUCUUGCCUUAUUCUUUGUAAUAGGAUUCAGAUUGUUUAAAAUCCCCAUAUUCUACCGCAAAGUCAUGUUAUCAGGAAAGACCAACCCUAACCCCAGUUCCAUGGAGUAAAGAUUAAUUAAUCUAAACUCUAUUAAUUGUAUUCCCUUUAUCUGGUGAUAAGUUUAAGAGCUGAUCCCUUAAUUUUGGACAUGGGAGCACAAGAGAAACUCACUCAAGACUGGGAUUAAUUGUAGGAAAUAUUUCACAGUUUCCACAAGUCAGAAGAGCUAAUCCCAACCCUCUGUAUCUGGAACAUACACUGCUGCCAUUUUCUGCCCAUGAAGGGAAAUACCCAAGGUACUCUGGCAGAACAGAUUUUUGAAAACUUGAGUCCCUGAUGAUGUAAGUCAGCCACAAUGUUAAUCAACCCCAGAGCCACCUUAUUUCUAGACUUAUUAUGCAAGAUAAAAAAAAUCAACUUGCAGUAUGAACCACUUUUAGUUGGGUUUUAUUUCGGCAAACAUAUGCCAAGGCACAGCAUAAAAUUCCACAAGGGACAAAUCAAUGAGCCCAGAACUUCCAAUGAGGGGGACAACUAAGUCAUAUACACAAUAACUAGAAUGUAAAUGGUAUUGAACUUCAAGCACAACAUUGGAUGCUAGAAAAAAAGAAUGCCUUCAAAGUUUUAAAAGAAAACACUUUUCUACCUUGAAUUCUGCAAUCAACCAUACCAUUGAUCAAGAACAAAAGUAGAUAGAAUUAUCCUUAGACAUGCAAGGACGAAAAUUUACCUUCCAUAUGCCUUCUAGGAGCUAAUAGUUGAUGGGUUUCAGGAAAAGAAAGGAAUAUAAAUGAAAAUAAGGGAAGAGAAGGGACCUAGGAACCAGUGAGUCCAGUCAGCAGGGUGGAAGAGCUGACAGCUACACUGUGCAGUCCACACAAGAGUAGAAGGGGAAGACAUCCAGGGAAAAAUUACAUAGACUUAACAGAGUAGAAAUAUGGCAGAUCUAGUGGCAAAGUGAUCAUCAGAAAGAAAUCAAAUAUGCUGUACUGUAUAACGAAUUACCCUGAGACUUUCAGACUUAAAAUAAGCAUUUAUUAUCUUCUAUUUUCUGAGCAUGAGGCAUCUGGGAGCAGCUUAGCUGGGUAGUUUCAGCUCAGGAUCUCUUCUGAGGUUGUCAAGAUGUCAGCUGGGGCUCCAGUCAGCUGAGAGCAUGACCAGAACCGUAGAAUCAGCCUCCACCAUGGCUGACUCAUGUUGCAGUUGGCAGAAGGCCUCAGUUCCUUGCUGGCUGUGGGCAACAGGCCUCAGCUGCCUGCCACAUGGACCUGUUCAGAGGGCUGCUCAAGUGGCCUAACAUGGCAGCUGGUUUUCCCCAAAGCAAUCCAUGAGAAAGUUCGUGGGGGGGGGCUGUAAUGCCUUUUAUGACCUAGUCUCAGAAGUCACAUGUCAUUAUUUCUGCCAUGUUCUAUUUGUUAGAAGCAAUUCACUAAGUACAGCCCACUUAUAAGGCAAGGGAAAUAGGGCUCUGCAUUUUAUAAGAAUAUUGAAUUUUUGACAUGUUUUUAAACUAUUACACAUAUGCAUAUAAAAGUAGCAUGUAAGUUAAUAAGUGUGGCAAAGAGAUAACUUCAAGGGAAACAAAAUCUAAAGAAAAAAUGUAAUCCUAAUGCACCACGCAGAUUUGCUAUUAACAAUAUCGACAUAGUUUUGGUGUUAUAAAGUGAUUAUUGAUGUAAUUAAAAGCAACUAUAGGCCAAGCCCAGUGGCUCAUGCCUGGAAUCCCAGCACUUUGGGAGGUGGGCGGAUCACCUGAGGUCAGGAGUUUGAGACUAGCCAAGAUGGUGAAACCCUGUCUCUACUAAAAAUACAAAAAUUAGCUGGGCAUGGUGGUGGGUGCCUGUAAUCUCAGCCACUUGGGAGGCUGAGGCAGGAGAAUUGCUUGAUCCCGGAAGGAGGCAGCUGCAGUGAGCUGAGAUCAUGCCACUGUACUCCAGCCUGAAUGACAGACUUAAACAAAAAACUAUGCAGCUAUAUAAAGAGGGAUGAGGAAAGAUAAGAGCAUAAGGGAGCCAACUUUUCAUUAACUCUGAGGAAGCCAAUUGAUAUUACCUGUAAUUGAUAAAUCAAAAAACUAUGAUCAAGACAGUCUUGCACUGGCAAAAUAGGUCAAUGACCAUAUUUGUUCAUUGAAAAAAUAGAAAACCCAGACAGACCUCACCCAAAUAUAAUCAACUGAUCUUUGACAAAGGGGAAAGGAUAGUCUUUUCAGUAAAUGGUGCUGAAACAACUGGACAUCCACAUGCAAAAGAAUCUAGUCACAGACUAUAUCCUUCACAAAAAUUAAUUUAAAAUGGAUCAUAGAUGCAAAUGUUAAACCUAAAACUAAGACUCCUAGCAGGUCACAUAGGAAAGCAUCUAGAUGACCCCUGGGUUUGGGAAUGACUUUUUAGACAACACCAAAGAAAUGAUUAAAGAAUUGAUAAAUUGGACUUUAUUAAAAUUAAAAACUUCUGCUCUGUGAAAGGCACUGUCAUGAAAAUAAGAAAAGCCACAGAUUGGAGAAAAUAUUUGCAAGAGAUAAAUCUGAUAAAGGACUGUUAUUCAAAAUAUAUAAAAAGUCUUAAAACUCAAUAAGGAAACAACUUAAUUAAAAAUGGGCAAAAGAUCUGAACAGAUACCUCACAAAAGACAUACAGCUGGCAAAUAAGCAUAUGAAAAGAUGCUCCACAUCAUAUAUCAUUAGAGAAUUGCGAAUUAAAACGAGAUACUGCUACACACUUAUUAGAAUGGCCAAAUCUAGAAUACCGUCAACACCAAAUGUUGGCAAGGAUGUGGAGCAUCAGGAACUCCCAUUCAUUGCUGUGUGAAUGCCAAAUAGUAGUUUGGAAGACAGUUUGGCAGUUUCUUACAAAGCAACUACUUUUGCAAUAUACUCCAGAAUUUGUACUCCUUGGUAUUUACUCAAAUGAGUUAAAAACAUGUCCACACAAAACCCUGCACAUACCCUUCACUGCUUCCAUGUUGUAGCAACCAAUGAAUAAAAUUGCUAGAAACAAUGUCCUUCAAUAGGUGAAUGGAUAAACCAUCGUGCAUCAAGACAGUGGAAUAUUAUCCAGUACUAAAAAACGCAAUAUGGAAGCCAUGAAGACAUGGAAGAAACUUAAAUGCAUAUUGCUAAGUAAACAAAGCCAAUCUGAAAAGGCUACACAUGCUGUAUGAGUCCAACUAUGUGACAUGCUGGAAAAGACAACUAUGGAGACAGGAAGAUGAUCAGUGGUUGCCAGGAGUUAGAGGGGAGGGAAGGAUGACUAGGUGGAGAACAGAGGAUUUUUAGGGCAAUGAAACUGUAUAUUACAGUGAUGGAUUCAUGGCAUAAUACAUUUGUCUAAACCCAUAGAAUGUACAACACCAAGAGUAAACGCUAAUACAAACUGUGAACUUUGGGUGAAAAUGAUGUGUUAAUGUCAGUUCAUCAGCUGUUACAAAUGGACCACGCCGGUACAGGAUGUUGAUGGAAGCAACCGUUUAGGGGUGGGGGCAGGCAUAUGGGAACUCUGUACUUUCUGUUCAGUUAUGCUGUGAGCCUAAAACUGCUCUAAAAACAAAGCCUAAUAAGAAA